GGCGUCGGACCACGGCCGGGUGGCAGAGGAGCUGCAGCAGCAGAGAUGUCGACGCGCUGGCGGUGGUGGAGUGAGCGGCGAAAAUCAACUCCACGGCCGUUUCCUGCAAGGAAUUCAACAUCCGCGAGUCGAGCGUCUUUUAGGAUCGCGAUGAAGCCUUUUUUUUUUUAACCCUUGCCAAACACGUCAUGGAUAAAAAGUCUUCUCGAGUAAUCGUAUGGAUUUUUGAAAACUCCCAAGUUGUACAUCCGACUCCCAUUCCAGACAAAAAAGGUUGUGCUUCGAGGAGAAUGACGACCACCCAAGAUCCCAUCCACUGCCAACAGAAGAAUCAAAUAAGACUUUGCAAGCUUUUGUGCGCAAGGUCAUAAAAAGCCGGCCCGUUGAGCAAACGCUGGAGGAGGACACCAUUCAUGGAGUGCGUUCAUGCAUUUUUGCCUCGUGUCAAUUCUAUACUUGUAAAUUCUGUCAAAAGUACUUUGUUUGAGAUUUUCACGAAAGAAGAAAAGAAAUUGGUGUCCGAGUCCUGCGAUUGGCUGGCAACCGGUCGAGGGCGUGCCCGACGACAGCCGGGGACGGGCUCCGAGGAGAAGCGGCUCGGAAAAUGGAUGCGCGGAUGGAUGUCAAAGUCAUUGUUCUGCUUGAUGAUCUCUCGGGCUCGGAUCCCCUGCGAGGAACAGCAAGACCGGUCGGUGAGCUGCGCAGGAAGUCAACCGUGAACGCAUCUGAAGGCCAACCUAGCGGGACGGCGCGCAAUCAGAGUAUCUGGUGCUUUCUUUGCGUUUUCAGUUGACAAAUUAAGAAUUUAUAUAUAUAUAUAUAUAUAUAUCCAGAAUGUAUGUAUGGAGUUUGGUUGCAAUCGACCGAAUAGAGAAACGGCAAAAGCACAUCUUCCGUGUCAGACAUCGACAAACGCGUUCACCGUCGAUGUCGCUCGACCGAGUGCGCAGGCUAACGAGCUAACGUAGCUUUAGCCGUUUGCCUGUUUUGCAAUUUUCUAUUUUUUGAUCUGAGCCGAAAAUGGAAUCAUGAAAAAUCUCUUUUUCAUUCUGUUUGCGUAUUCGAGUGGAACGUUUUUUUGCCAAUUUAAAAUAAAGACAAUACAGACAAUACACAAA